GGAAUUUUGCGCAAUGGGGGAAACCCUGACGCAGCAACGCCGCGUGGACGAUGAAGCCCCUUGGGGUGUAAAGUCCUUUCGGCAGGGAAGAACACCGGGCAACCGGUUGACGGUACCUGAAGAAGAAGCCCCGGCUAACUCCGUGCCAGCCGCCGCGGUAAGACGGGGGGGGCAAGCGUUGUUCGGAAUUACGGGGCGUAAAGGGAGCGUAGGCGGUGCGGCAAGUCCGGUGUGAAAUCUCCGAGCUUAACUCGGAGCGGUCAUCGGAAACUGCCGUGCUAGAGUGUGGGAGAGGAGAGUGGAAUCCCCGGUGUAGCGGUGAAAUGCGUAGAUAUCGGGGGGAACACCAGCGGCGAAGGCGGCUCUCUGGACCACAACUGACGCUGAGGCUCGAAAGCUAGGGGAGCAAA
rnacentral:rRNA from 1 species